rnacentral:ncRNA from 10 species
UUAAAACAUCAUGAGAGAUUAAAUUCUCACCAACCUGCUGACUCCAGCAAGGUGGUAAAAAGAUGUGGUUAACCAACAACUAAAGGAGUUAAA